rnacentral:rRNA from 1 species
UACGUAGGGGGCUAGCGUUGCUCGGAAUCACUGGGCGUAAAGCGCACGUAGGCGGCUUUCUAAGUCAGGGGUGAAAUCCUGGAGCUCAACUCCAGAACUGCCUUUGAUACUGGAGAGCUAGAGUCCGGAAGAGGUGAGUGGAACUGCGAGUGUAGAGGUGAAAUUCGUAGAUAUUCGCAAGAACACCAGUGGCGAAGGCGGCUCACUGGUCCGGUACUGACGCUGAGGUGCGAAAGCGUGGGGAGCAAACAGG